rnacentral:rRNA from 1 species
GAUGAACGCUAGCGGCAGGCCUAACACAUGCAAGUCGAGGGAGAAGCCCUUUCGGGGGCAGAAACCGGCGCACGGGUGCGUAACGCGUAUGCAACCUACCUUUCACAGGGGGAUAGCCCGAAGAAAUUUGGAUUAAUACCCCAUAAUAUUAUUGGAUGGCAUCAUUUGAUAAUUAAAACUGCGGUGGUGAAAGAUGGGCAUGCGUCCUAUUAGCUAGUUGGAGUGGUAACGGCACCCCAAGGCUACGAUAGGUAAGGGUCCUGAGAGGGAGAUCCCCCACACUGGUACUGAGACAGGGACCAGACUCCUACGGGAGGCAGCAGUGAGGAAUAUUGGUCAAUGGUCGGAAGACUGAACCAGCCAUGCCGCGUGCAGGAAGAAUGCCUUAUGGGCUGUAAACUGCUUUUAUAUGGGAAGAAUAAGGCGUACGUGUACGUUGAUGACGGUACCAUAUGAAUAAGCAUCGGCUAACUCCGUG